AUCCCAUGAUAACAGGUCUUGGUGCCACUUGAACCAUUGGAGAUGCUAAAAAUCCACAAAAUCAAAGUAUUAUUAGGAGAAAAAAUUAAAAAUUUAAGGACGUGAUGCAAUUUAUAAGUACAAGCUCUAUGUGUGUGAAAGUGUGUGUAUUUGCAUACCAGCGACAGAAGAGUUGGUGUGUUUCCCGUUAGAAGAAUUGUUAUGAGCCCCUAGGGGAACUUGAGAAGCA
rnacentral:misc_RNA from 1 species